UAUCAUGUCUCAUUUCUUCCCUUCUCAGAGAAAUUGUUUCUUCUUCUUCCAACCUAACCUAACCCUAAAACAUGUAACAAUGCUUCCACCGCCACCGUCACCGUCACCCCCAAAUUGAAAUCAAACCCUAAAAAAUCCAACACCACUGUCAUCAUCACCAUUCACUUUCCUCCCUCACUGAAUGACAAACCCUUUCCUUCACUGAACACUGACGCAAGUGGGCAACACACACCAAUUGCCAAUGAUCCUUCUCAACCAAAUCAACAAACUACAACAACACACAAUCUUCCACCAACUGGCCUAAAGAAAAGAAGACUUGAUGAAAAUGGUAACAUAAAGAGAUCUGAGGUAUGGGAUCACUUUAACCUUAUUCCUGAUAGUGACCCCCCAACUGCUGAAUGUAAGUACUGCCACAAAAUGUAUAUGCAUGACUCUAAAGAAACAUGGAAGAUCAAACUUAAAGAGUCACAUGAAAACAUGCCUCAAGUAUGCAUUGAACGUGUCUAUCGACCCUAUCCAAACAAUCUUGUUAUAUUCAACAACUAAGGGAAAUAUGUUGGUUCCAUUAAGUUCUAGGUUUAACCAUGUAGUUUGCAUAAAUGGAUUGGCUUAUUUGAUCAUUGUAGAUGAGAAACAUUUCAAAACAGUUGAAGGGGAGGGGUUCAAGUACUGUAGGAAAGUGCAACCCCAAUUUUCUAUACUGCCAAGGAGAACCAUAACUAGGUUUUUCCCCCCAAUUAUAUCUUGAUGAGGAAGUGAGGUUGAAAGCGUUCUUUAAGUCUCAUUGUUGUAGGGUGGCAAUUACAACAAAUUGCUGGACGUCUGUCCAAAAUCUAAAUUACUUGACCCUCACUGCCUGUUUUAUUGAUAAGGAUUAGCAUUGCCAAAAAGGAUAAUUAACUUUACAAUUAUCCUAAAUCACCGGGGUAAAACUAUUGGUAAGAAGUUUGAGGAGGUUUUGAAGAAGUGGGGGCUGAGAAAUAUUUCUACCAUCGCAAUAGAUAAUGCCUCAUAAAAUGAUGUUGUUGUUAAAUAAUUAGAACACAAAAUAAGAAACAUGAAUAGACUUUUAAUGGAUGGGUUUGGGUUUCACAUGAGGUAUUAUGCUCAUCCACUGAAUCUGGUUGUGAAAGAUGGAUUAAAAUUAGCCCACACCUCAAUUUCAAGGGUUAGAAAUGCAAUUAGGUUUGUUAGAUCUUCACCCCAUAGGGAUUUAAAGUUCAAGGAAUGUGUGGAAUAUGUUGGGAUUUCAUGCAAGACGUCAGUAUGUCUUGAUGUUUCAACCAGAUGGAACUCGAUAUAUCUGAUGUUAGAUGCGGCUGAAAAGUUUCAAACUGCUUUUGAUAAGCUAGAAGGUAAGGAUGAAGCCUAUAGGGAUUUAUUUGAGGUUGAUUGCCCUUAGUAGUCAAGAUUCGGAUAAUAUUAGGGUUUUUAUUAAGUUUUUAAAGAAUUAUUAUGAGUCGACAAACGUUUUUUCUGUUUCAACAAAAGCAAGCUUGCAUACUGCUUUUCCGUACUUGGGUGGCAUCUACAUUGAGCUUAAGAAAUUAAACAUGGACCUGAAUGGAUUGUUUGCUGAGGUGACUAGGGACAUCUUGGAAAAGUAUAGUAAAUAUUGGGUUGAUAUCACUAAGAUGAACCAACUACUUUAUUUUGGUGUUAUCUUUGAUCCUCGAUAUAAGUUAAGAUAUGUAGAAUGGUGCUUUAAUGAUAUGUAUGGAAAACAUUCUGACACUAGAAAAUCCCUACUAAAAAGAUAUCAAUGACAAUAUUUCAAAACUGUUCAAUCUUUACAAACAAGAAUAUGACACUACUGGAGGCUCAAUUUCAUUUGUUGUGGCGAUUGUUUCUCUUCGUGAAACUGCUGCCAGCGAAGAAGUACCCACAUAUGUAGUUAGGGAAAAUGCUUUUCAGAAACAUUUGAUGUAUAUGGAUUCAGUGGAAGAAGAAAUUGAGCUUUAAAGUUAUAUAGAAGGAAAAUGUUUAACUUUUAAUGAAAAGGAUGAAGAAAAGUUUAACAUUCUUUGUUGGUAGAAACAUGAUGCUGGUCAAUACCCAGUUCUGUCCCAAAUAGUUAAAGCUAUCAUGCCCACGCCAGUUUCAAUCGUGGCUUCUGAGAGUUCUUUUAGCACGGGUGGGAGGGUUUUAGAGGUAUAUAUAAGCUCUCUCAAACCAGAAAUGGAAGAGGCUCUAAUUUGUGCUCAAAAUUGGUUGAGGCCUUCCUUUUACCAAUUCAAAGACUUGGAAUUCAAUGAGGAGUAUGAGAUUUUUGAAGAUGUUUUACAAGGAUUUACUAAAACUUUAGUUGGAAGUAAGGCCAUGCCAUCCUCACAGACUCAGUCACAACCUUAUGGUUAUGCCUAAAACAAAUUAAGCUUGAAUUCCCUUGUAUUUUGUUAACCCGUCUUUGUUAAAUAAAGUAUGUAUUCUAAUGUUUUCUGCGACAUUUUCAGCCACUUUUUUUUAAUGUUUUAGAGUCAUGAAUGACUCUUUUUUUUAAGCCAUGAAUAACAUAACCAAACACUUUUUAAAAGAAUAUUAAAAUAUAAACUUUCUUGGUUACAUACAGGAAUAUAUAUGAAUUUCUUAGCAUCUUAUUAAUAUAGAAGCUAGGCAUUCUGAAAGAGGGGUCUGAAAGUAGUAAUUGCUGGAAUUCCAAAAAUCAUAGAUAAUGACAUCCCGGUUAUUGACAAGAUCAGUUUUGAUUGGUUUUGUUGCUUUGAUGAACAACCUGAAUGGAUGGUGUAUGGGAGUUUUGAUUACGAGUUUAUGCUUUUCAUAUGGUUUUGAUACAUUUCUAACAUUACUAUGCGUUGAUGGAUGCUUUAUGAUUAAUCUUAGAAUGGCCAGUUUUCUAAACUUCAUACAUAAUCUGCUGAUGGAUGUUGUCUUGUUCUGUCACUUAUAGUGUAUGUCAGCACUAGAAUUUAUUCAAGUAACAUACUGAAAAACAUGAUGGUAAUCGUCAGUGUAAAAUUUGAUUGAUUUUGUUGCAAAAUUUGAUGAAAAUAGUUUAUAAUGUGCAAAGUUUGAUUCACAUAGGUUUUAAUUGGUUUUGUCAGCACUAGUCUCCAAGCUUUUCAUAUAGUUUAUAAUGUGCAAAAUUUGAUUCAAAAUUUGAUUGGUUUUGUUGCUUUGAUUACGAGUUUAUGAUUAUCAUAUGGAUGUUGUAUGAUUGAUCGUAGCAUUGUGAGUUUUUUUAAACUUCAUAAUAAUCUAUUGUCUUGAAAAUAGGUCUUGAUUUUAGGAUAAGACUCUUUUUCUAUGUAAUUUGGUUUUAUGCUUGUGUUGAAUCAAAAGACAACGAGAUUUACAAUCAUAUAAACGUUGUUCUUCAUGGUUUUAAGAUAUGUCUUAUGAUUGCUUAAACUAGAUGCUGAAGGGAAAGAGUUUAUGGAACGAAUUAUGAAACACUUGCAUGCCUUAAGCUAUCAUGAGAACAUUUUCAACAGGCCAACUUUAUUAAUUUCAUUGUUAUAAUCAAGGGUGGAAAUCAUGUUGAUUACAUCACCAUUCAUUGUUUGUAAUGUGAUAUAUAAGAGGAAAAGGUGCUUUGGUUAUGGUGGUUGAUGGUAUUAGAUUUAUUUGGAUUUGUUAAUGUUAAUGCAUGUAUUGAUUUAUGUUGGAUGAAUUAAUUUUAAACUUGGAUUUUAUGUGGUCCUAGGAAGGAUUAAUUUUAAUUUUAAUUAAACAAUUUAGUUGUGUUAAUGUUA